rnacentral:antisense_RNA from 1 species
GUUUGGGUGUGGCCGCUUGGCGUGCUGUGGUGCAGGUGGCUGAAGGGGGCGUUACUGUUGCGACUGGCAUCCGCAUCCGGUAGAUGUAGAUGGAACCAAAGUCCAGAAGUUACGCGUCACCCUUACUCUACAGCCAAACAUGCAGGACUCUAGUAACCCGCGAAAUGAUGGGAUUGCGUUGCAAAUCAUUAAAAGAGUCUUAUAAAAUCCUGGCUGACCUUGACUUCUCCACUGCAACCAUCGAGUUCAUUGCCUCCUGAACCUUGCCAUGGAGGCCUGUGGCACCUGAGCCAGCCAUUAUCAUCACCAGCACUUCCAUGAGCUCCAAGCUGGACCCACUGCAGUCCUCCUGAAACACUGAAAUCAGAGCCUGCACACAGAGCAGCAGAUGCUUCAUGUAAAGGCCAUUUUUAGCUAUGUGUUCCAAGGUUACUGAAGCUGGACUCUGGCCUUCCUGAUAAGAGCAUGACCAGAUCCAGCUGGUUUGCUACAAGAUGAACUUCAGUGCUGAGCUUUCACCAAGUUUUUCUCAUUACAAUCUCAUUGUAAUACUAAAAUCUCCACCCAAGAUGGAGGUUAUCUGCCAUUUUCUGUACAUGUGUUACCAGAAAGGGGUCCUGAUCCAGACCCCAAAACAGGGUUCUUGGAUCUCAUGCAACAAGGAGUUCGGGGCGAGUCCACAGAGUAAAGUGAAAGCAAGUUUAUCAAGAAAGCAAAGGAAUAAAGAAUGGCUACUCCAUAGGCAGAGCAGUGGCUUUGGCUGCUCACCUGCUUGUACUUGUUACUUCUUGAGUAUAUGCUAAACAAGGGGUGGAUUACUCCUUGUUUAGCAGUUUUCUGGGAAAGGAGUGGGCAAUUCCAGAACUGAGGGUUCCUCCCCUUUUUAGACCAUAUAGGGUGACUUCGUGAUGUUGCUAUGGCAUUUGUCAACUGUCAUGGCGCUAGUGGGAGUGUCUUUUAGCAUGCUAAUGCUUGAGCAGUGAGGAUGACCCGAGGUCAUUUUUGUUACCAUCUUGGUUUUGGUGGGUUUUGGCUGGUUUUGGCUGGCUUCUUUACCACUUCUUUUUAUCAGCAAGGUCUUUGUGACCUGUACUUAGUGCCGACCUCCUAUCUCAUCCUAUGAGUAAGAAUAUCUAAUCUCUCAGGAAUGCAGCCCAGUAGGUCUCAACCUUAUUUUACCCAGCCCCUAUUCAAGAUGGAGUGACUCUGGUUCAAAUGCCUCUGACACAUGUGCCUCUUGUUUGGGCAUGAGACCUCACUGUGUAGGUGCAGAGGAGACCCUGCCUAAACAUUGCCUACACAUUGCUCCUUUUUCCUGCCUCAACUUCCUUAAAAUGACAAGAGCAGAGCCCUUUUGGGAGCUGACGUCAGGACUCCUUUUCUUCUGUACUCUGCUCCCUUAUGCUGUUAGAGCCACAAGCCUAUUAAACUUUGCCUGAAAUAAA